GGGGGUAUAGCUCAGCUGGUAGAGCGCUGCCUUUGCAAGGCAGAUGUCAGCGGUUCGA
rnacentral:tRNA from 4 species